rnacentral:rRNA from 1 species
AGAGUUUGAUCAUGGCUCAGGACGAACGCUGGCGGCGUGCUUAAUACAUGCAAGUCGAACGGAGCCUAGCCGAUAGUUUACUGUUGGCGAAAGCUUAGUGGCGGACGGGUGAGUAACGCGUGGAGAAUCUGCCCUCAAGACCGGGAUAACAGAGCGAAAGUUCUGCUAAUACCGGAUAUGCUCUGAGAGCCGCAUGGCACAAAGAGGAAAGCGCAAGCGCUUGGGGAUGACUCCGCGUCCCAUUAGCUAGUUGGUGAGGUAACGGCUUACCAAGGCGACGAUGGGUAGCCGGCCUGAGAGGGUGACCGGCCACACUGGGACUGAGACACGGCCCAGACUCCUACGGGAGGCAGCAGUAGGGAAUUUUCCGCAAUGGGCGCAAGCCUGACGGAGCAACGCCGCGUGAAGGAAGAAGGCCUUCGGGUCGUAAACUUUUGUCUUUGGGGACGAUGAUGACGGUACCCGAGGAGGAAGCCCCGGCUAACUACGUGCCAGCAGCCGCGGUAAUACGUAGGGGGCGAGCGUUGUCCGGAAUUACUGGGCGUAAAGGGCGUGUAGGCGGCCUGAUAAGUCAGGUGUGAAAUUCCAAGGCUUAACCUUGGAGCUGCACUUGAAACUGUUGGGCUUGAGGGCAGGAGAGGGAAGCGGAAUUCCCAGUGUAGCGGUGAAAUGCGUAGAUAUUGGGAGGAACACCAGUUGGCGAAGGCGGCUUCCUGGACUGCACCUGACGCUGAGGCGCGAAAGCUAGGGGAGCGAACGGGAUUAGAUACCCCGGUAGUCCUAGCCGUAAACGAUGGGUACUAG